rnacentral:rRNA from 1 species
AGUGAACGCUGGCGGUAGGCCUAACACAUGCAAGUCGAACGGCAGCACAGUAAGAGCUUGCUCUUACGGGUGGCGAGUGGCGGACGGGUGAGGAAUACAUCGGAAUCUACUUUUUCGUGGGGGAUAACGUAGGGAAACUUACGCUAAUACCUCAUACGACCUACGGGUGAAAGCAGGGGAUCUUCGGACCUUGCGCGAUUGAAUGAGCCGAUGUCGGAUUAGCUAGUUGGCGGGGGAAAGGCCCACCAAGGCGACGAUCCGUAGCUGGCCUGAGAGGAUGAUCAGCCACACUGGAACUGAGACACGGUCCAGACUCCUACGGGAGGCAGCAGUGGGGAAUAUUGGACAAUGGGCGCAAGCCUGAUCCAGCCAUACCGCGUGGGUGAAGAAGGCCUUCGGGUUGUAAAGCCCUUUUGUUGGGAAAGAAAAGCAGCAGGUUAAUACCCCGCUGUUCUGACGGUACCCAAAGAAUAAGCACCGGCUAACUUCGUG